CCCCAAUACAAGUCCAGAAAUUCUUUUUCUGACCCGCAUCCAAAGACCAUGACAUUCUCCAACUAUUGAUUGAAAAAGUCCAUUCAUGGCCACUGAAUGAGGCUUGUUAAUGUGCAUUCACAUCUGCCAUGUCUUCAGUGAGUUUCUGGUGAGCUGCUUCUAUCGUUGAGAAAAAUACCUUGAAAUCUAUGACUACGAUGGUGGAAUUGUUGAUUGCUCCCUGAAGUGGUAUAACAUGUUCUCAAAGGUUAAAGAUGAAGUCAGGUAACUCUGAUAAAGUGCUUAAAACAAUGCCUGGAAGGUGAUGGAAUAUGCCACCCCAAAUACGCCACUUUGGCCUAAGAAUUAAUGAGCGUCAAAGGCACUUGAAAAACAGCAGUUACAAAUAGAACUUUGUUUUCUGACCUCCUCUUUACUUCCUAAAAGCAGGAGAUAAAACUCCCAUGUGAAAGAUGCCCUCCCUGUACUAGGAGGAAAGGCACAUUGUGAUCAGAGAGGGAGCAGAGGGUGAGGUCUGUGCAAGGAGACCUUGAUCAAAUCACACUGGUUCUGCUACUUCCCUGGGUCUUUAUCUUCUUAUGAAGACCCCCAUGUCACAUAAAACUCAUAUUAAAUAAAUUUGUGUGAUUUCCUUCUGCCGCUUUACCUGACAUUCAUUUAAUUCUCAGGCCCAGCCAAAGAUCCCAAGAAGGUAGAUAGAAAAUUAUGUCUCCCCUGCAUGGACCCAAACCUAAGUAUUAAACAUACGCUUGCUAUCAGGUUUUUAGUCAUAAAUACAUAUGAACAACGACCUCAAUUAUUUGAAGUGUCGGAGAAAAAAGGCAUCGUGUAUCAGUAUAAUUAUUUUGUCAAAUUUGUACCCUACUUGAUUUAUAAAUUCCCAGAUAAUACUGGAAUGGUAAAAAACAAUGACAACAACAAAACUGCAGCACUAUUGCUUAUUAAAAUGGUUAUCAUCUUCUCCCUAAACUUAGCUGUUUUUUUUGUUUGUUUGUUUAGCCACACCUGCAGUAUAUGGAAGUUCCCAGGCCAGGGAAUGAAUCCGAGCCAUAGGUGUGACCUAUGCCAGAUCCUCAACUUGCUGUGCCACAGCAGGAACUCCAAACUUAGCUUUUAAAUAAAUAUUUGAGGUCAAAAAGUUUCUAGCACAUGAUAAGAAUACAGUGGGGAGGAAAUAAACUCAGUCAAUAGGCCUUUCCUUCUUUUCUUUUCUUUUUCCUAAUAAUUCUCAUCAAGCUGCAUCUCUUUACUGCAUGGUAAAUGUUUUCCUUGGGUAUUCUUAUGGUGUCGACAAAUACUAAAAAAAAAGGUGAGUUUGGGAUAAACUCUAUUAUGCUCUGUUUUAUAAGGAAAUUAUUUUAUUAUACAAAGAAUGUUUUUAUCAGAGUACUUAAUAGAUCUACUCAUAAAAAAGGCAAACUUCAGUAAUAAUGUAUCUAUGGAGAAAUAACUAUACUACUGCGAACAAAUGGAUUGUCUAAGUAAACACUAUCACACCAUCACUUUCACCAGUAUUUCCACCAUGUGCUGUAUGUGCGUAUAUAUGUAGGUAUGUGUAUACAAUAUCUAUAUUUGUAUCUAUCUAUCUAUCAUCUCUCUUAGAGCUUGGAACAGCCUUAUUAGUGUGAUUUUCAUCUUGACAGUGAUAUGUCUCAGAGACACAAUAAAUAAAUACAACAUCCCACAAUUAGAUUUUAGUUAUCUGAGAAGUGUCUAAAAUAAUCAAUAUACUCAAAGAGCACCAGCAGUUCUUGGCUCUAAAUUACUUCCAAUGUAAAAAGAAAGGAAAGUAUAGAAGAAUAAAAUAUAGUAAGCUUUAUCUCAAAAGACAUUAAAUUGCAGAGGAUUUAUAGAAUACUGAAAUAGAAAAAAAGCCAACAGGAUUAAAUCCUCUGCUAAGAUUGAUGAAACAGUCCACCCAAAUUUUAUUGAUCUGCUCCUAGGAAGGAGAAAGCUCUGAAUUUCUGCUGAGGAAGGGCUGGGGUUAACUAAUAGCCAAGUGACAGUUCAACUGCAAAAAAAUAAAUUAAUAAAAAGAGCAGAAAAGUAUUCAAUACUUGCAUGAAUCCUGUAGGAAAUGAAUCAUCUACUGACCAAAAUUUAAUUUCUUUUGCCUCUGGGUAUAAGACUGCAUCAGACAAAUUGGCUGUAAACAUAAUUUUUCAGUGGACAAGAAAGAAAAAAUAAGGAAUACCUUUGAAUUUACUGGAAUCAGUAUAAAUCAAGAGCAUAUAAAUAUUUAUUCAGACUAAAACUCUGUUUUGUUUUCAUUUCUUUUUGUUUUUGUUUUUUGCUUUUUAGAGCCACACCCACAGCACAUGGAGGUACAGCCCUAAAAUAGCAAAAAUAUAAAAUAAAAAAUAAAAAUAAAUAAAAAAAAUAAAUUUUCUGAGGCAAGACCAGACAUGAUCAGAACUUUUGUGUAAGGAGCAUUUUAGAGCCUACUGCCACCACCAAGAGGAAGACGGUUGAGAAGCAACUGCACUGUUCAGGUGAGAAGCCAAAGUGAUUGACUUUUUCCGUGAUGACCUAGGGAUAUAUCAGACCUCAAAAGAACUGGGGCCACUCGCUCAGUCUGGAUGUGCUCUGCCCUAAGAUGUAUCUCUCCACUGUGGUGGGAUUCUCUUCCUUCUCUAGUUUGAUUCUGCCCACUCUGAGGAUGUCUGCCUUGCCACCUGUCACUGCUUCCUUGGUUCCUCUGCUCUGCUUCCUUCUGCUGCCCUUUCCCUUCAUCUCUCCAUUUUCAUUCCCUUAAUUAUAAAUUUGCAUGGAAAUGUGCAUCAGGUGAAAUGUUUGCUUGUCCACUUGCUUUAAUAGCUGAUCCUUAAAGAAUUCACAGAAUACAUUCCUCCUUUGCACAAAGGAUCUUCUGGGUCACCACACAA
ensembl:lncRNA